UUACUAGAGUAGCACUCGCAUAUCAAUAAGCGGAGGAAAAGAAACUAACAAGGAUUCCCCUAGUAACGGCGAGUGAAGCGGGAAGAGCUCAAAUUUGAAAUCUUAAAGGGUUUCCCUUUACGAAUUGUAGUUUAAAGAAGUGUUUUCUGUUGAGGUUUUGGUAAAAGUUCUUUGGAAUAGGACAUCAUAGAGGGUGAGAAUCCCGUAUUUGACCUUUACUUUCAACUUUGUGAUACACUUUCAAAGAGUCGGAUUGUUUGGGAAUGCAGUCCAAAAUGGGUGGUAAAUUUCAUCUAAAGCUAAAUAUUGGCGAGAGACCGAUAGCGAACAAGUACCGUGAGGGAAAGAUGAAAAGAACUUUGAAAAGAGAGUUAAACAGUACGUGAAAUUGUCAAAAGGGAAGCGUUUGACACCAGUGUUGUUUUUCUGAAAAUCAAUUAAAGAACUGUUUAUGCUAAGUUGUUUAGACUUUAUCAGCUAACUGUUUAGUUUUGAGCUUUUCUUUAAUGCACUUUUCAGUUAACAAGUCAACAUCAAUUUCUUUUGCUGUAAAAAAGCUUGAGGAAGGUGGCUUGAGAUUCGUCUUAAGUGUUUAUAGCCUCUUGCCUAUGCAGUCGGAGAGAUUGAGGUCUGCAGCGUAGAUCCUUCGGGGCUAAAUGCAUUUGUGCUAAGUUAUAGCAUUUUAUAGACAACUUGUUGACUAUGAUUUGUCUUGUAGCUUACUCGCUUAUGUUAUUUUACCUACGCUUAGGAUGUUGAACUCUAUCACACACAG
rnacentral:rRNA from 1 species